rnacentral:lncRNA from 1 species
UGAUCUCUAAAACAUCCUGUUUUGUUCCUUUUACCUUUGAUUAAAGUUAAAAACCAUCAAGCUCUGAAUGCUGCAAAAGUGUAAUUUUGCUCUUUGCUAUGUCUAACUAGCUUUGAUCAACAACAAAAUUGUGCCAGUGGAUUAGAAGGUGGCCAAGGUGAACAAACAGCAUGGAUUAUUUGCUUGAAAACUGGAUUGUUGAUGAAGGAAAAAAAAAAAAAAACAAAAAACAACCAAAAGUGUAUUGAUUUUGCAAACUUCUCUUCACCUACAGGUACACACUUCAGUUGUGAACUUUGGUCUGAGUAGGUAAGAAGCUCUUGACUGUCAGAGAUGCUGGUUUGAAUAAGCAGGAUGUUCAUUUUGGGUUCAAUACACCCCCUUGCUGACACCCACCUCAGUAUAAGUGCUGAACAAAAUGCGCUCAGAAUGAGGCUCACGCAGGACUUAAAUAGGACCCAGACCCAUGCCUGGGGCCAACAUCUGCCUUUCAAAACAAUGCUGGUAAAUAGGAUUCCAUUAAGCCUUGAUCUUACAUUUUCAAAAUCCUUCCUUGUCACUCCGUGGAAGGACGAGUGGCACUCAGACAGGCCCAGGUUCAUGAAUUUUCCAACUAGAAGGAACCAUCCUGGUUGCAAAGCAUAGCCCCCUGGAUGGGAGGAACAUAUUUACUUGUUAUUUAGCUUAUCUCUUUUUCCAUUUAUGCACUGUGUAGGUUACCCAUCUUGCCAAAUCAAGAGAUGAUGAACUUAUGUUGAUUUAAAUGCUUUGCAUGACAAGAACCUCCUCCAUGACCAAGGAGGCUGGAAAAAUACCAGGAAUAUUUUUUAUACUGGAGCAAAAGAACAAUGCCAGGAAACACACCAACAUCAACUCUAGUAACUUACUUAUACAGAAAUGUGGGAAGCGUGUCUAUUUAAG